rnacentral:lncRNA from 1 species
GCUCAGGAGUUUGAGACCAGCCUGAGCAACAUGGCGAAACCCCAUCUCUACAAAAAUUACAAAAAAAAAAAAAAAAACCAGCCAGGUGUGGUGGUACAUGUCUGUAGUCCCAGCUACUUGGGGAGCUGAGGUGAGAAGAUCGCUUGAGCCCAGGAGGUUGAGGCUUCAGUGAGCCAAGACCAUGCUAUUGCACUCCAGCUGGGUGACAAAGUGAGACCCUGUCUCAAAAAAAAAAAAAAAAAAGUGAGUUUGAAAUUUAAAAUUUUCUUGCUAUUUCUUAUAUAGUCAGACAAGGCUUGGUUCAACACCCUGAGCUGGGUUGGCUUGACAGGACUAGCACUAGACCUGACCCAGAGGUAAAGGCAAUUGUGGGAAGAGCGGACGGACCUGGGAAGAAAUCUAGAAGCCAACGAGCAGAACACCAAAGCUUGUCACUGGGCAACAGAGAACUGGUCCAACAAAGCUGUCACCAUCAGAAAUGUGUGUCACCAGGUCAGAGAAACAGGAAAUCAAGGAAAGACAGAAGAGAGAAAAAAAGAAAAGAGAAAGCAGAAAUGUGGGUUUUGCUGCAAAGAAAUACCAAAAUUGUUUCCAAUCAGUCAAAGUGAAUCAUCUGUCUACCAACAUGCCUCAUUUUUCAUUGUCUAUAGGUAACUUAGAAAAGAGUAACUAAUGCAAGGAAUAGUUUUGUUAUAAAAUGUGCAUAAUUUUGACUGCUUUAAUAAUGAAAUUUAAAUUCACAUGUAUUUCCUUCUUUUCUAUGAACUUCUUUUAAUCAUAACUGGAAAAAAAAUGUCAAGUGGUGUCCACAGCUAGCUGACACUUCACAUGAAGAUUGAAGAAGAAUAAAUUUCAUUUUAAAUACAUGUUCCUUCGCAAGUUCUGUGAUUAAACAUUCACGCUAGCUUUCCUCGGUCAAAAAUGAAAGAACCGAAUGAACUUCUGUUUGAUCCUCUCCUCCACAGGAUAAAUUUUCCUUUUUCUAGUACAUUUAGAGUGCAUAUUUUGGCAAGUGUGGACUAGGGAGUGGGGAAGGUGUUGUGGGUGGGGAACACUUGCUUUCUUCCAUGAGAGCAACCCCUGCCUGGCCUUCGGAGAGAUUUUAGCAAUUCCCAAUCCUGCCCCACUUCCAGCAGUCUGGGCACCUGGGCACCCAGCUCCAAUGGGAUUAGCUUUCACUGUACUGGAUUCCUCUGUCAAACAACUGACCCGCAAACUCUAUAGUUACCACCAUGCAACACAAAGCUUGAACAUACUAACAAUCUGUUACUAUUCACUGGUGUGUAAUGUACACAGGAAUGUGAAAUUACAUGGAAAUGCAAUCCGGAGUAAAAAUCUAAAAAUUCAUACAUUGUAUUAGGUUAGUAUUUAUAAUUUCCAAAAACAAAGUCAUUGAAGAGGUCAUGAUUUUUGUUAAAAUUAAUGAGAUUAAAGAUCAGGCACAGGUUAAAUUUGCCUUCAAGGCAGAAGUUUAGCAGACAAACAAUUCUGGUUUAGUUAAAAGUACAUGGUCUUUGAACUCUCGUGUCGAAAGAGUUGAACACAACUAAACUUUAAUGUGAAAAGGUCUCAAGUAGUUAAUCAGAAAUGAGAGGCGCACAUAGCAUUUUAUACUGUUUUCGAUUUGCUGACACAACAUCAUUCUGUGCUCUCUAGUGAGCAAGAGUAAUCCUCAAUAGCAUUAAGACGAAAGGCUGAACACAAAACCGCAGGCAAGUCAAGUAGUGAUUUUAUUCUUUUUGUCAUUUUUCUUUCAAGUGGAAGAUCCCUAACACUCUCUGCUCCUGACAAUGUUUAUAAACAGAACUCUGAGAAGCAUCUGAAUGUAAAAAAAAAAUAGGUCUCUCCAACAAACUGUGAUAGACGAUCAACCAGCUGAGUCCUCUUCCAGAUGACAUGGGGUUGGAAGUACUUUUAAGACCUAGUUUCCACAAAAAUAAAACUCUUAAAAUUACUCAACUUGCUGGGUCUGAUCCCUAUGAAAGAAAAAUAGUGUAUAACAUAAGAUAUACCAUAAUCAGUUACACCAACAACUCAGUUCCGAGAAAAGUUUGAAAACAUUAACAUUGGAAAAGAAAGUUCAAUCAAAGACAUGCAUUAGGCUAAAACGUUCUUUAUGAUAGCACUUCAUUUUAACAUAUAAACACUAUGCUCCUUAUAACAUACCUUGUAAUCUAUAAAAUAAAGGCAACAUAUUUUAUGUCUGAUAAUAAAAAAAAGUUAACUGCUAAAUCCUAGAUGACAAAACACUUCAUCUUUUACCCCAUAAAAUUUGCCCUGAAUUUUAAAAUUCAUCACUUACGUAAUAUCUGAAUUCUACAACUCUGAUAGCCUUUUAUUAGCAGGCUAUGUAAAGAUCCAAAAUCGUUACACAGUACAAACAGUGAACUGCUAAGCUAAAGUAUAACCUUUUUGCUUAACUGGAUAGACUAAAGUAAUAAUAGACUAUGUAAUACAAACUUCUCAAAGUAAGUCUUCGUUCCCCUCAUCCAUCCCAAAAAAACACUACUAAUAGUUUUUCCUUGAACAUCUAUACAUUAUCAAGUGUAGGUGUCUACUAUGUAAUAAUAAUAUACAUUCAAACCACCUUUUUGGGUUUUCUUAAAUGUAGGCUUAUCUUCUGCUCAAAGCAAAGAUACUGCAAUAGAAAAUCAGCAAUGUGACAAUUAUAAUAUGCUCUUAAAUUAUAAAUCAAUAGGCUGGUCAUGGUGGCUUACGCCUGUAAUCCUAGCACUUUGGGAGGCCGAGGCAGGUAGAUCACUUGAGAUCGGGAGUUGGAGAUCAGCCUGGCCAACAUGGUGAAACCCCGUCUCUACUAAAAAUACAAAAAAUUAGCCAGGCAUGGUAGCAGACACCUGUAGUCACAGCUACUUGGGAGGCUGACGCAGGAGAACUGCUUGAACCUGGGAGGUGGAGGUUGCAGUGAACUGAGAUUGCACCACUACACUCCAGCCUGGGUGACAGAGCUGAGACUCGGUCU